rnacentral:rRNA from 1 species
GGGCGGGUCUUAACCAUGCAAGUCGAACGAUGAACCGCUUUCGGGCGGGGAUUAGUGGCGAACGGGUGAGUAACACGUGGGCAAUCUGCCCUGCACUCUGGGACAAGCCCUGGAAACGGGGUCUAAUACCGGAUAUGACCGUCUGCCGCAUGGUGGAUGGUGUAAAGCUCCGGCGGUGCAGGAUGAGCCCGCGGCCUAUCAGCUUGUUGGUGAGGUAGUGGCUCACCAAGGCGACGACGGGUAGCCGGCCUGAGAGGGCGACCGGCCACACUGGGACUGAGACACGGCCCAGACUCCUACGGGAGGCAGCAGUGGGGAAUAUUGCACAAUGGGCGAAAGCCUGAUGCAGCGACGCCGCGUGAGGGAUGACGGCCUUCGGGUUGUAAACCUCUUUCAGCAGGGAAGAAGCGAAAGUGACGGUACCUGCAGAAGAAGCGCCGGCUAACUACGUGCCAGCAGCCGCGGUAAUACGUAGGGCGCAAGCGUUGUCCGGAAUUAUUGGGCGUAAAGAGCUCGUAGGCGGCUUGUCACGUCGGUUGUGAAAGCCCGGGGCUUAACCCCGGGUCUGCAGUCGAUACGGGCAGGCUAGAGUUCGGUAGGGGAGAUCGGAAUUCCUGGUGUAGCGGUGAAAUGCGCAGAUAUCAGGAGGAACACCGGUGGCGAAGGCGGAUCUCUGGGCCGAUACUGACGCUGAGGACGAAGUGGGGGGAAAAAAAAAAGAGAGAGAAAAAUGC